UACGGCCAUAUCACGUUGAAAUAUUGGUUCCCAUGCGAACAUCGAUGUUAAGCAACGUCGAUUCUAGUAAGUACCUAGAUGGGUAACCGCUUGGGAAUAAAAGGUACUGUAA